GUAAAGCGGAGUUGCCGCUGCUGUUGGGUAAGAAAACAAGAUUAUCUUCUUAUCCAAAAAAGAUGACACCAACUGGGUUACUCUCAAAGGACAACCAAGUGAGCACCACAGACUAAUGAGUAGAAUCAACAAGAACGUGAUUUUGGCGCUUUUAACUUUGACAAGUUCUGCAUUUCUGCUGUUUCAAUUAUACUACUACAAGCACUAUAUAUCAGCAAAGAAUGGAGCUGGUGUAUCAAAAUCUAAGGGAAACCGAAUUGGAUUUGAUAGCACACAGUGGCGUGCAGUUAAAAAAUUUGUUAUGCUAACAUCCAGCCAAAAUGUACCAGUGUUCCUUAUCGAUCCUUUGAUUCUGGAAUUGAUUAAUAAAGACUUUGAACAAGUCAAAAAUAUUUCUCAUGGCUCCACUUCAGAAUGCAAGUUUUUCUGUGUUCCAAGAGACUUUACUGCAUUUGCACUGCGGUAUCACCUAUGGAAGAAUGAGGAGGGCUGGUUUCGGACGGCUGAAAAUAUGGGCUUUCAGUGCCUAAAGGUUGAGAGCAAAGACCCCCGGCUGGAUGGAAUAGACUCACUUUCUGGAACCGAAAUUCCCCUGCACUACAUCUGCAGAUUGGCUAAUCAUGCCAUCCACUUGGUGGUCUUUCAUGAGAGGAGUGGCAACUACCUCUGGCACGGCCAUUUACGACUCAAAGGACGCGUGGACCGGAAAUUUGUUCCUUUUCGAAAGUUACAGUUUGGCCGUUAUCCUGGAGCUUUUGACAGGCCAGAGUUACAACAAAUUACUGUUGAUGGACUCGAAGUUCUCAUCCCGAAAGAUCCAGUGCACUUUCUAGAAGAAAUACCACACUCUCGGUUUAUUGAGUGUAGGUAUAAGGAAGCUCGAGCAUUUUUUCAGCAGUACCUUGAUGAUAACACUGUGGAAGCCAUGGCCUUUCGGAAGAGUGCAAAGGAAUUGUUGCAGCUAGCAGCCAGAACGUUAAAGAAAUUGGGAGUCCGGUUCUGGCUGAGCAGUGGAACUUGUCUAGGAUGGUAUCGGCAAUGCAACAUUAUUCCUUAUAGUAAAGAUGUUGACCUAGGAAUUUUUAUACAAGAUUAUAAAUCUGAUAUUAUUUCAGCAUUUCAGGAUGUAGGACUUCCACUCAAACACAAAUUUGGGAAGGUAGAGGACAGCUUGGAACUAUCUUUCCAGGGAAAAGAUGAUGUAAAACUCGACAUUUUUUUCUUCUAUGAAGAGACUGACCAUAUGUGGAAUGGAGGCACUCAGGCCAAAACGGGAAAAAAAUUUAAGUACCUAUUUCCCAAGUUUACACUGUGCUGGACUGAGUUUGUAGACAUGAAGAUUCAUGUGCCCUGUGAAACCAUUGACUACAUUGAAGCCAACUAUGGUAAGACCUGGAAGAUUCCCGUGAAGACAUGGGACUGGAAGCGCUCUCCCCCCAAUGUACGGCCCAAUGGAGUCUGGCCUAUUUCUGAGUGGGAUGAGGUUAUCCAGUUAUACUGAGACAGUAACUUGAAAUGGUAGAAUUCCUCGUCUGAAACAAAGGUGGAUAACUGUUUAAGAAGAUACAUCUCUAUGUGUCAAACGUAAGUAGGAGCCAAAGAUGUAUGUCAAGUUUGAAGACGCAGAGAGUCUUAACCUCUGAGCCAUCUGAUUUAAUCCUCUCAUUUUACAUUUGUUAAGGAGCCCCCAUGUGCCAGGUGCAGUGCUAGGUUACAGUGGAGGAGCAGAAGUGAGUGAGGCACGUGCCUGUCUCUCUUUCCCUUCCCUUUGAAAAACCAAAGGGUGACUUCACAGACCAAGGGAAAGCCUUUGCUUUUAGGAAGCUGUCCUCGCCUCGUGUCAUGCCGGUUAUCAUUCAC